rnacentral:rRNA from 1 species
GACGAACGCUGGCGGCGUGCUUAACACAUGCCAGUCGAACGGAAAGGCCCUGCUUUUGUGGGGUGCUCGAGUGGCGAACGGGUGAGUAACACGUGAGUAACCUGCCCUUGACUUUGGGAUAACUUCAGGAAACUGGGGCUAAUACCGGAUAGGAGCUCCUGCUGCAUGGUGGGGGUUGGAAAGUUUCGGCGGUUGGGGAUGGACUCGCGGCUUAUCAGCUUGUUGGUGGGGUAGUGGCUUACCAAGGCUUUGACGGGUAGCCGGCCUGAGAGGGUGACCGGCCACAUUGGGACUGAGAUACGGCCCAGACUCCUACGGGAGGCAGCAGUGGGGAAUAUUGCACAAUGGGCGGAAGCCUGAUGCAGCAACGCCGCGUGCGGGAUGACGGCCUUCGGGUUGUAAACCGCUUUCGCCUGUGACGAAGCGUGAGUGACGGUAAUGGGUAAAGAAGCACCAGCUAACUACGUG